rnacentral:rRNA from 1 species
GAUGAACGCUGGCGGCGUGCCUAAUACAUGCAAGUCGAGCGAAUGGAUUAAGAGCUUGCUCUUAUGAAGUUAGCGGCGGACGGGUGAGUAACACGUGGGUAACCUGCCCAUAAGACUGGGAUAACUCCGGGAAACCGGGGCUAAUACCGGAUAACAUUUUGAACCGAAUGGUUCGAAAUUGAAAGGCGGCUUCGGCUGUCACUUAUGGAUGGACCCGGGUCGCAUUAGCUAGUUGGUGAGGUAACGGCUCACCAAGGCAACGAUGCGUAGCCGACCUGAGAGGGUGAUCGGCCACACUGGGACUGAGAUACGGCCCAGACUCCUACGGGAGGCAGCAGUAGGGAAUCUUCCGCAAUGGACGAAAGUCUGACGGAGCAACGCCGCGUGAGUGAUGAAGGCUUUCGGGUCGUAAAACUCUGUUGUUAGGGAAGAACAAGUGCUAGUUGAAUAAGCUGGCACCUUGACGGUACCUAACCAGAAAGCCACGGCUAACUACGUGCCAGCCGCCGCAGUAA